rnacentral:rRNA from 1 species
GAGUUUGAUCAUGGCUCAGGAUGAACGCUGGCGGCGUGCUUAACACAUGCAAGUCGAACGAACCUUCGGGUUAGUGGCGGACGGGUGAGUAACGCGUGAGAAUCUGCCCUCAGGAGGGGGACAACAGCUGGAAACGGCUGCUAAUACCCCAUAUGCCGCGAGGUGAAAUGAAUUUCGCCUGAGGAUGAGCUCGCGUCUGAUUAGCUAGUUGGUGUAGGUAAUGGCUCACCAAGGCAUCGAUCAGUAGCUGGUCUGAGAGGAUGAUCAGCCACACUGGGACUGAGACACGGCCCAGACUCCUACGGGAGGCAGCAGUGGGGAAUUUUCCGCAAUGGGCGAAAGCCUGACGGAGCAACGCCGCGUGAGGGAUGAAGGCCUCUGGGCUGUAAACCUCUUUUAUCAAGGAAGAAGAUCUGACGGUACUUGAUGAAUAAGCCACGGCUAAUUCCGUGCCAGCAGCCGCGGUAAUACGGGAGUGGCAAGCGUUAUCCGGAAUUAUUGGGCGUAAAGCGUCCGCAGGCGGCCCUUCAAGUCUGCUGUUAAAAAGUGGAGCUUAACUCCAUCAUGGCAGUGGAAACUGUUGGGCUUGAGUGUGGUAGGGGCAGAGGGAAUUUCCGGUGUAGCGGUGAAAUGCGUAGAUAUCGGGAAGAACACCAGUGGCGAAGGCGCUCUGCUGGGCCAUCACUGACGCUCAUGGACGAAAGCCAGGGGAGCGAAAGGGAUUAGAUACCCCUGUAGUCCUGGCCGUAAACGAUGAACACUAGGUGUCGGGGGAAUCGACCCCCUCGGUGUCGUAGCCAACGCGUUAAGUGUUCCGCCUGGGGAGUACGCACGCAAGUGUGAAACUCAAAGGAAUUGACGGGGGCCCGCACAAGCGGUGGAGUAUGUGGUUUAAUUCGAUGCAACGCGAAGAACCUUACCAGGGUUUGACAUCCUGCGAAUCUCUUGGAAACGAGAGAGUGCCUUCGGGAACGCAGUGACAGGUGGUGCAUGGCUGUCGUCAGCUCGUGUCGUGAGAUGUUGGGUUAAGCCCCGCAACGAGGGCAACCCACGUCUUUAGUUGCCAGCAUUCAGUUGGGCACUCUAGAGAGACCGCCGGUGAUAAACCGGAGGAAGGUGUGGAUGACGUCAAGUCAUCAUGCCCCUUACAUCCUGGGCUACACACGUACUACAAUGCUACGGACAAAGGGCAGCAAGUUCGCGAGGACAAGCAAAUCCCAUAAACCGUGGCUCAGUUCAGAUCGUAGGCUGCAACUCGCCUACGUGAAGGAGGAAUCGCUAGUAAUCGCAGGUCAGCAUACUGCGGUGAAUACGU